AGCCGGGGGCAGCUGCUCUCGUUCCGGUUUGAAAGGUGGGAAGACAUAGGCUGCCGGCAAGGAAGCAGUUUUUUUUCCCCCAACGCCCCACAGCCUUUAAGACACAGUGUGGCUUUCAUGUCAACGUUCUACCCACCAUUGGGACUUUCCCUAAAUUCAGGUCUCUCAAGGUCCGGAAUGUUUCCACGCCCCUGUUACAGAGGACAACAGGCGUAUUUUGUGUAGGCAGUUGUGAGGAUUAACCGAGAUUAGCAGAUUAUGCCUAAAAACAGGGCCUCAUUAGUAAAUACAAGAUGAUCCAUGGCCAACGACAAACUUUUGCACGUCAAAUCUUCAUAAUUAUGUUUGGAAGCAAUGAAUAAUUUUUUUAAAGGGUGGGGAAUGAAUUUGAGACAAGCCCACAAACUGACCAAGUCCACUCUGAAUAUGGGCUAUUUCCCAAGCACGCUUCAGAAAUCUGUAUAGAAUUGAACCACUUGCCAAUCUAAUUUAUCCUCUGUCACUCCAGCUGUCUGUAUGAUUGUUAUCGAAUCUGGGGGCCAUAGAAUGUGCUCCAAACCAGGCCCAGGCCACCCAUCCUUAAUAAGCAAACAAAUUAAUAGUGGAAAGCAGAAGAUGGCUAUUCUUGCUUGUCAACUUGGCUACAUCUGUAAUUAAUGGGAAUUCAAAUGGCUGGGCACACUCUCGGGAGAUGUUUUAAAUGAAAUCGUUUGAAAUGGGGACACCCACCUCUAAACUGAAUCUUUGGGCCAGGAAGAUCCGCUUUUAAUCUGGGCCACACCUUCUGCUGGCAGCCUGGAUAAGGGACGUGGAAGAAGGAAGCUCUCUGUUUUCCUGCUUGCUUUCACCUUUACUGGCAAUCCCUUCCCAGAGCCUACUUCUUUGAGAUUCCUGUGUAUACUGAAAAUCAGCUGAGACACCCAGCGGUGUGGACUGAACAAAUACUGGAUCGUUGGGCCUCCUGUUCAUAGGCAGGCUUUGCAGGAGAAGCCGGACCACACAGCUUCCUCCAGCUGAAAGUAACCUGAGGUGAUUACAAGGCAUCACAAGGAAGGUAGAAAGAAGGCUAAACGUGGGACUCCAUACACAGCUUCCAUGAGAUUGACAUCCAUGAUGGGCGAGGACUGCUUUGGGGUCACCUGAAUGUCUAUAAGUAACCGAUUCUCCACGCUCCUGUAAAUCUAAUAAAAUCAUCAGCUCACCAA